rnacentral:rRNA from 1 species
UUUGAUCAUAAUUUAAAGUAGGGCCUGCCCACUGAGUAAUUGAAGGGCCGCAGUAUUUUGACUGUGCAAAGGUAGCAUAAUCAUUAGUUUUUUAAUUGAAAGCUUGUAUGAAUGGUUUGAUGAAAAAAUAACUUUCUAUGUUUAAUUUUUUAAACUUUAUUUUUAAGUUAAAAAGCUUAAAUUUUUAUAAUAGACGAGAAGACCCUAUAGAGUUUAAUUUUAAUUGAAAUUUUAAUUUUUAGAAUUUUUUAAUUAUUAUUUUAGUUAAAAUUUAAUUGGGGUGAUUAAAAAAUUUAAAUAACUUUUUUUAAAUUUAAACAUAAAUUCAUGAAAAUUUGAUCCAUAUAAAUGAUUACAAGAUUAAAUUACCUUAGGGAUAACAGCGUUAUUUUUUUUUAGAGUUCAAAUCGAAAAAAGAGAUUGCGACCUCGAUGUUGGAUUAAAGUUAAUAUUAGGUGUAGAAGCUUGAUAAUUUGGUCUGUUCGACCAUUAAAACUUUACA